UUCCCUGUAGCGUAAUGGAUAGCGCGCGCGAGUUGGACUUCUAAUCCAAAGGUGGUGGGUUCGAAUACUACCUGGGAUG